rnacentral:tRNA from 2 species
GGAUAGCUCAGAUGGUAGAGCAGA